GUUUCAGGCUAAAUUGGAACAUUGCGCUCAAUGCUGAAGAAUGAUAUUUGUUGUUUAUCGUUUUACAGAAUUCUUCUAACUCAGGCCCAAACAUCUCCACACUGUCCCCAUCCUCAAGCCCUGCCGUCCACUCCACCCCUAUUUGUACAGGAGCCAUUUAAUAGAGCAAACAGUAUUCGUUUGGCAGUUUAUUUGUGCUGCACCAAAAAAAACAGAGAAGCCAAAACAGAAAGAAAAAGGAAAAACAAAAAACCAGAAAUGGAGAAGUGUUCCCUUUCCAGACAAUCAUGAAGAAAAGAGAUAGGGAUGCGCUGAGGCUGGACUACCCGAAGGCAUCGGGGUGUCCAGAGAAGCUGGGCUUGAGGGAGGCAGCAGCUCCAACACCUUAGAGCCUUGGGAACAGUCCCUGUGACAGCCACACUGGUUGAGAGGAAAAAGCACAGCGGGAGAAGUUGAUCUCUUUCCACUGGGAGAUUGAUCUGCACUAGGUAAGUCUAUGAAUCCAUAAAGCCUCUUCAUCUCUAGAGUCUGUGAUUUCCUGUCUUCUCUAAAAGUCCUUGGCAAAACAGACAUUUAUUAAUGGUAUGAAACAGGCACUAUAUUGCAGUACAAAACGAAAAACGACCUCCACGUCUCAGUGCCUUUUCUCACUCCUGAGGUCCGCCGCAGGCUGGGUGACCCUCCCCGGCACCCGCCCUUCAUGCUGUAACCGGUGCAGCUCUGCGGUCUCGGCAGGAGGUUUCCUUGACUGCCUGGGCAAGGGAGGAGACAGCUGGAGCGUUGGGCGCUGCCUCUUCGAUUCUGACCUGUAGGAUUCACAGGUCCACAGUCCAUCAGCCAGAAUUAGUCACAAGGCUCCACCUAAGGGAAAGUGGGGUGGGCAACACUGUCACACUCGUCAGAAAGAGAAUCAUUUAUGCAAAAAUGAAUAGGUUCCAACCCCUUUCUCUUAGGGUAAACUCAAGGAACUGUAGUGAGAGUGGCGUAUUUGUUUGCAAUAUUAUUAUUCAUAGAUGCCAGGAUGCAUGGAAGUGCUAGAAGGCAGGGCGGUGUUCUGUGCGUCUUGACAUCCCUCCUGCCUGCCACAGUACAUGGCAUGUGAAAAAAAGCUCAACAAAGCCUUAACAACUAAGCUAAUGAAUAAGGUAUUCUAUAUCCUUCACUUCCCAAGGCGUUUCUUUUUUCUUUUUUUUUCUGAGACGGAGUCUCGCUCCAUCCCCCAGGCUGGUGUGCAGUGGCGCGGUCUUGGCUCACUGCAAUCUCCACCUCCCUGGUUCAAGUGAUUCUCCUGCCUCAGCCUCCUGAGUAGCUGGGAUUACAGGUGCAUGCCACCACGCCUGGUUAUUUUUUUUGUAUUUUUAGUAGAGACGGGGUUUCACCACGUUGGCCAGACUGGUCUCGAACUCCUGACCUCAGGCAAUCCGCCCGCCUUGGCUUCCCAAAGUGCUGGGAUGACAGGCGUGAGCCACCACACCUGGCCCCAAGGUAUUUCUUAUUGCUCUUCCUUCCCAGCCCAUGCUAGGUAUAUCACAUCGAAAAGGCAUUCUGUGUGUCCAAAUCACUUCUGAUUUGCUGCAAUUCAUCUUGAUGAAAUGGGAAGCUGUGGUUCUGCAGCUCUGGUAACAGUUAGGAA
rnacentral:lncRNA from 1 species